rnacentral:rRNA from 1 species
UACGUAGGGCGCAAGCGUUGUCCGGAAUUAUUGGGCGUAAAGAGCUCGUAGGCGGUGUGUCGCGUCGGCCGUGAAAACCUGCAGCUUAACUGUGGGCUUGCGGUCGAUACGGGCAUCACUGGAGUUCGGCAGGGGAGACUGGAAUUCCUGGUGUAGCGGUGAAAUGCGCAGAUAUCAGGAGGAACACCGGUGGCGAAGGCGGGGUCUCUGGGCCGAUACUGACGCUGAGGAGCGAAAGCGUGGGGAGCGAACAGG